UACGGGAGGCAGCAGUGGGGAAUAUUGCACAAUGGGCGAAAGCCUGAUGCAGCGACGCCGCGUGAGGGAUGACGGCCUUCGGGUUGUAAACCUCUUUCAGCAGGGAAGAAGCGAAAGUGACGGUACCUGCAGAAGAAGCGCCGGCUAACUACGUGCCAGCAGCCGCGGUAAU
rnacentral:rRNA from 2 species